rnacentral:tRNA from 1 species
CAGGGAGACAAAACUGAUUUUGAUGUCUGAAUUUUUAUUUUUAGGCCAUUAUCCUGUCACCUUAGGUCGAUCGGUACCUCAAUUCAAUGCUAAAAACUGAGCGAUCAGUUUUCAAUAAGUUCUUGAAUUCAGUUCCUAAACUUUGUCUAGGUCACACCCAGCAAGGGUACUCCUGGGCCAUUAGCUCAGGUGGUUAGAGCGCACCCCUGAUAAGGGUGAGGUCCCUGGUUCAAGUCCAGGAUGGCCCAUUCGUUGUUGGGGGUAUAGCUCAGUUGGUAGAGCGCCUACUUUGCAAGCAGGAUGUCAGCGGUUCGAGUCCGCUUACCUCCACUGAUUAUCCUCCUGAUAAUGACGUUUAAGGAGAUUAUUGUUGAAGGUGAUCUAGAGUUUGUUCUGGAUACGUGAACCUAGCUUCUUGUCAUUCUUAACUAGAAAUUAUUUCUUAGUUUGCUUGAUAGGACGCUGGGCUCUCUGCAUUACUUAGGUAUUGCAGUGAUGUUCAGUAGAACCUUGACAACUGCAUAGGUAAGUCUGGAAAGAAUAAAGCAUCUCAUGGAUGCAUUAUUUUUUUAAAGCAAAUCUAUUAUUCUGAAAUAACAGAAUAUCUAGUUUGCUUGAUAAAGAAUAAAUGUUUAAUUCUUGAGCAAGAGCCGAGACUCUAUAAUGUUCUUCCAAUGCUUUAAAUGCUCUGGAAGUUAGAUUUUUAAUUUAUUCUUGCUAGAUCGAAGAUUUAAAUUUUAUUUAAUGCUUGGGUCUAUUUAAUAGGUUUUAAAUUAAAGAGAAAAGUGCUAACAACACAUGACAUUAUAGAGAUUAAUAU